rnacentral:rRNA from 1 species
GAGUUUGAUCCUGGCUCAGGAUAAACGCUGGCGGCGCACAUAAGACAUGCAAGUCGAACGGACUUAAUUCAUUCUUUUAGAUUGGAAGCGGUUAGUGGCGGACUGGUGAGUAACGCGUGAGCAACCUGCCUAUUAGAGGGGAAUAACAGUGAGAAAUCAUUGCUAAUACCGCAUAUGCUUACACUAUUGCAUGAUAGAGUAAGGAAAGGAGCAAUCCGCUAAUAGAUGGGCUCGCGUCUGAUUAGCUAGUUGGUGGGGUAGAAGCCUACCAAGGCGACGAUCAGUAGCCGGACUGAGAGGUUGAACGGCCACAUUGGGACUGAGAUACGGCCCAGACUCCUACGGGAGGCAGCAGUCGGGAAUAUUGCGCAAUGGAGGGAACUCUGACGCAGUGACGCCGCGUAUAGGAAGAAGGUUUUCGGAUUGUAAACUAUUGUCGUUAGGGAAGAAAAAAGACAGUACCUAAGGAGGAAGCCCCGGCUAACUAUGUGCCAGCAGCCGCGGUAAUACAUAGGGGGCAAGCGUUAUCCGGAAUUAUUGGGUGUAAAGGGUGCGUAGACGGGUGUUUAAGUUGGUUGUGAAAUCCCUCGGCUCAACUGAGGAA